UACGUAGGUGGCAAGCGUUAUCCGGAUUUAUUGGGCGUAAAGGGAACGCAGGCGGUCUUUUAAGUCUGAUGUGAAAGCCUUCGGCUUAACCGGAGUAGUGCAUUGGAAACUGGGAGACUUGAGUGCAGAAGAGGAGAGUGGAACUCCAUGUGUAGCGGUGAAAUGCGUAGAUAUAUGGAAGAACACCAGUGGCGAAAGCGGCUCUCUGGACUGCAACUGACGUUGAGGCCCGAAAGCGUGGGGAGCAAACAGG
rnacentral:rRNA from 1 species